GGGAGAGAAAAAUCAUCUGCCAGCAGUCCAGUAAUAUAAGUUCGUGGUAGAACAGGAGUGGGCAAAGUACAGCCAGCGGACCUCUUUGGACCGGCCCGUCUGCCAAAAUGUGAACUGCACUGGUCAUGUGACUGUCAGCCCCAGCCACACGGCGCUGCCACCAGUUCCAGAGUUCUUGGGGUCAGACAGGGGAUCAGAGAAGAGACACAGACCAGUGAUGUCGGCAGGAUCUGUUGUUCCCAGACACCGACACAGGGCCUUAUCCUGAAAUAAAUCAAGACGUGGAUUCAUCAGAAAUCAAAAGAGCAAACCACGAACACGAUCUCCACCCGCCGCCCACACCACGUCACUGCGGGCCAUGGCCACGUUUUCCAUGUCAUCAUCCGUCAUCACCUGAACUGGAAUACCCGCUGCUAUCAGCCCCGUCACCAUACCCGAGUCGGC